rnacentral:rRNA from 1 species
UACGAAGGGGGCUAGCGUUGUUCGGAUUUACUGGGCGUAAAGCGCACGUAAGCGGAUCGAUCAGUCAGGGGUGAAAUCCCAGAGCUCAACUCUGGAACUGCCUUUGAUACUGUCGAUCUGGAGUAUGGAAGAGGUGAGUGGAAUUCCGAGUGUAGAGGUGAAAUUCGUAGAUAUUCGGAGGAACACCAGUGGCGAAGGCGGCUCACUGGUCCGGUACUGACGCUGAGGUGCGAAAGCGUGGGGAGCGAACAGG